UGGGUUCUCCCCCCAUCGCCAAGGCUGUACCUCACCCUGCCCUCCCGCUUCCCUCACCCUCCACCCAUCUUCCCCCCAAAACCCUUUUCUGAAAGCAGAGGAGCUGCUCGGAGCAGUGAGGAAUGUCAAGAGGAAAGCUGGGUUCGGAAAUCCAUGAUUUCCUGUCAGUUAAUUCAUUUCAGCAAAACAGAAGGCAAGGAAACAAUGUGGCUGCUCUGAAAAUACACCAAUUAAUAUCAGCGUUUCAUUUCUUAAUGAGAACUAACUACAGCUACUGUCCUCUCAGACUGCUGAUGAACUGCAUCAUCUGCAUGGAAAAACAGAAACAACUAAACCCUUUUCCUACAUCUCAAGAACACCCUUCGCCUCGCAGAGAACACUUCAAAAAUAAAUGCAUGCUGUUAUCGGUGG